AUUGAACGCUGGCGGCAGGCCUAACACAUGCAAGUCGAACGAGUGGCGGACGGGUGAGCAAUGUCUGGGAAACUGCCCGACGGAGGGGGAUAACGACGGGAAACGGUAGCUAAUACCGCAAACCAUCGGAUGUGGCCAGGUGGGAUUAGCUAGUAGGUGGGGUAAUGGCUCACCUAGGCAACGAUCCCUAGCUGGUCUGAGAGGAUGACCGGCCACACUGGAACUGAGACACGGUCCAGACUCCUACGGGAGGCAGCAGUGGGGAAUAUUGCACAAUGGGCGAAAGCCUGAUGCAGCCAUGCCGCGUGUGUGAAGAAGGCCUUCGGGUUGUAAAGUACUUUCGGCGGGGAGGCGUUACUCGCCCAGAAAGCCCCGGCUAACUCCGUGCCAGCAGCCGCGGUAAUUC
rnacentral:rRNA from 1 species